GGAUUGUGGCUCAGUGGUAGAGCGCUGCCUAGCACGGGCGGGACCCGAGUUCGAUCCUCAGCACCA
rnacentral:tRNA from 1 species